rnacentral:rRNA from 1 species
UCUAUACAUGACUCUGCGCAUAUCAAUAAGCGGAGGAAAAGAAACUAACAAGGAUUCCCCUAGUAACGGCGAGUGAAGCGGGAAGAGCUCAAAUUUGAAAUCUUAAAGGGUUUCCCUUUACGAAUUGUAGUUUAAAGAAGUGUUUUCUGUUGAGGUUUUGGUAAAAGUUCUUUGGAAUAGGACAUCAUAGAGGGUGAGAAUCCCGUAUUUGACCUUUACUUUCAACUUUGUGAUACACUUUCAAAGAGUCGGAUUGUUUGGGAAUGCAGUCCAAAAUGGGUGGUAAAUUUCAUCUAAAGCUAAAUAUUGGCGAGAGACCGAUAGCGAACAAGUACCGUGAGGGAAAGAUGAAAAGAACUUUGAAAAGAGAGUUAAACAGUACGUGAAAUUGUCAAAAGGGAAGCGCUUGACACCAGUGUUGUUUUUCUGAAAAUCAAUUAAAGAACUGUUUAUGCUAAGUUGUUUAGACUUUAUCAGCUAACUGUUUAGUUUUGAGCUUUUCUUUAAUGCACUUUUCAGUUAACAAGUCAACAUCAAUUUCUUUUGCUGUAAAAAAGCUUGAGGAAGGUGGCUUGAGAUUCGUCUUAAGUGUUUAUAGCCUCUUGCCUAUGCAGUCGGAGAGAUUGAGGUCUGCAGCGUAGAUCCUUCGGGGCUAAAUGCAUUUGUGCUAAGUUAUAGCAUUUUAUAGACAACUUGUUGACUAUGAUUUGUCUUGUAGCUUACUCGCUUAUGUUAUUUUACCUACGCUUAGGAUGUUGAGCGCAUGUCUCUCUCU